rnacentral:rRNA from 1 species
ACUCCUACGGGAGGCAGCAGUGGGAAUCUUGCGCAAUGCGCGAAAGCGUGACGCAGCAACGCCGCGUGGGGGAAGACGGCCUUCGGGUUGUAAACCCCUUUCAGGAGGGACGAAGGUUCGCCGGUGAACAGCCGUGCGGAUUGACGGUACCUCCACAAGAAGCUCCGGCUAACUACGUGCCAGCAGCCGCGGUAAUACGUAGGAGCAAGCGUUGUCCGGAAUCAUUGGGCGUAAAGCGCGCGUAGGUGGCCUCGUAAGUCCGCUGUGAAAGUCAAAGGCUCAACCUUUUGAAAGCCGGUGGAUACUGUGAGGCUAGAGUACGGAAGAGGCGAGUGGAAUUCCUGGUGUAGCGGUGGAAUGCGCAGAUAUCAGGAGGAACACCAAUAGCGAAGGCAGCUCGCUGGGACGUUACUACACUGAGGCGCGAAAGCGUGGGGGAGCGAACAGGAUUAGAUACCCUGGUAGGCUCUGC